rnacentral:tRNA from 1 species
GUGAGUGUAGCUCAGUUGGUUAGAGCACUGGGUUGUGGACCCAGCGGUCGUGGGUUCGAAUCCCAUCACUCACCCCA